rnacentral:rRNA from 1 species
CUACGGGUUGCUGCAGUGGGGAAUAUUGCGCAAUGGGCGAAAGCCUGACGCAGCCACGCCGCGUGUGUGAUGAAGGCCUUCGGGUUGUAAAGCACUGUCGGGAGGGAAGAAGGCACUUCGGUGCUAGACGGUACCUCGCAAGAAAGCGCCGGCUAACUCCGUGCCAGCAGCCGCGGUAAUACGGAGGGCGCAAGCGUUGCUCGGAAGCACUGGGCGGAAAGCGCACGCAGGCGGCCUGUCAAGUCGAAUGUGAAAGCCCCGGGCUCAACCCGGGAACUGCAUCCGAAACUGGCAAGCUAGAGUAUGUGAGAGGGAAGCGGAAUUCCUGGUGUAGAGGUGAAAUUCGUAGAUAUCAGGAGGAACACCGGUGGCGAAGGCGGCUUCCUGGCACAACACUGACGCUCAUGUGCGAAAGCGUGGGGAGCAAACAGGAUUAGAUACCCGCGUAGUC